AGGAAAUAUAGUUUAAGAAAAAUAUUAAUUUUGUAAAUUUAUGAUGCUUUUAGCUUUUUCC
rnacentral:tRNA from 1 species